GCUCCAGUGGCGCAAUCGGUUAGCGAGCCGUACUUAAAAUGCGGAGGUUGUGAGUUCGAGCCUCACCUGGAGCA
rnacentral:tRNA from 1 species